GCCUGGGUGGCUCAGUGGUUGAGCGUCUGCCUUUGGCUCAGGUCGUGAUCCUGGGGUCCCGGGAUUAAGGCCCGCCUCGGGCU
rnacentral:tRNA from 1 species